rnacentral:rRNA from 1 species
GACAGAGGGUGCUAGCGUUGUUCGGAAUGACUGGGCGUAAAGGGCGCGUAGGCUGUUAUUCAAGUCAGAUGUGAAAGCCCCCGGGCUUAACCUGGGAACUGCAUUUGAUACUGGAUGACUGGAGUACGAGAGAGGAAAGUGGAAUUCCUAGUGUAGAGGUGAAAUUCGUAGAUAUCGGGAGGAACACCUGUGGCGAAGGGCGGCCCCCCUGGUUGGAUACUGACGCUGAUACGCGAAAGCGUGGGGAGCAAACAGG